UUAUUGGACGGAAAAAAUAUCAAUUUAUUUACAGUAACAUCAACAGAAAGAUAACAUCUUACUCAAGUGGUAUAUUAUGAACAUGAACAAUUAAAAAAUAGAAAGGUUUUGAAAAUGUUUCAUAUUUUUGAAGAAAAUCAUGUAAACGAAACGUCCUGUCAAUUGAAGUCAGACAAUGUGCAUGUAUGUUAGGCGUAUCAAUGAAUAUCAAUUCACUCACAGAGAUGGCUAUCUCUGUAUUUGCUAGAAGUUCUGGUCCAUUGAUGUUGUCAAGGAACUGCAACAUCACCCUCUUAAUGCAAACUAAACUGUUUAAUAAUACAAUAAUGGUAAGGAAGAAAUAAAUUUGUCUUAUAAUAACAACAACUGAACAAUAGUGUCUUUAAUCAGUGGUGUAUGUUAGCAACAUCAGCAACUAGAAAAGGUUUGGAAAUAUUUCUUAUUUGUAAAAAAUCACUCUGCAACUUUAGUGAUGAAGUUUGAUGUUGAGUCAGAUGUGAAGUUGAUGUCUUUGAGAUUUAGAAGAGCUUCACUUUUUUCGUCUGACUUAGCAGCUUUAGUUAAGUUCUUCUUGUUUAAGACUGUCGUAGUUGUGUCUGUAAAGUUGUAAACCAACUUUCCUGACCAUCCAAAUCAGCACAGAGUCUUCCAGUGAUAUUCUUUGUUGCAUUCUUUACUUUCUGUGAAGCAGCAAAAUUUGGACACUGUUUUUUCCUGGCAAAUUAUCACACCUGAUUUCUGCAAAUAUGUCUUUGAUCUCCCGAGCAGCUUAGCGUAUUUCUUUUAGGGCUCAAAGGUUUUCCCUAAAAGUCAGUUGUUUCAAUAAAAACACACCCUAUUUUGUGAAUAAUGUUCCCUGUUGUUGUUGUUUUUCAGUUAUCUCUAUAACCAACAAUUGGGAACAGUGCAGAUAGCUGCUGUAUGUCUGCCCUACAGCUAUGACCAACAAUUCGGAGCAGUGCCGGCAGCUCCUGAAGGUGGUUAUUUCAAUCCAAGUCCUGCACCAGAUGUAACAAACAACACCCACCCUCAUCAGGAGUCGCAUAUUGUGGCAGUUGAACCUCCUGAGCGAGACUGCUAUUUUUAUUGCUUUAACUGCUCCAAGGACAACCAAUGGUAUGAGCCUUGCGGAAAAGGGUUCUGUUGGAUUCUCCUGCUUUUGCUGCUCUGGAUACCUGUUGGUGCCCUUAUGGUCGCAUUUUUUGUUUUCGCGUUGGCGAUUUGGGUGAUUUUGGCAUGGAACGGUGCAAUAAUUGAUGUUAGAAAGUGUGGUGUCUUUGAUACAUGUACAUGAACCGAGUGUAAAACUCCGCUAUUACAGCAAGCACAUGGCAUAAAGACAACGUAGUCCGAACGUACUCGAUCGUGAGUCACAUGACAACUUCACUAGUCUCCAGGACUCCACAGAAAGAAAUGAUGUUUCUUGUCAGUUACAUUGCUAUUGUUGGGUGAUAUCUUCUUUUCAGUUAUGCUAGCAACACUUUGUAAAUGCAUUCUAAAUUUCGAAGGAAAAUAAAUAUCCCCUGUUAAGUAAAGGAAACUGUUGCUUUCAGCUUACUAGGAAGUUUAAGAAAUGACAACGCCUCAAAUCAAUGAUUUGAUUGGUUGAACGAAGAA